rnacentral:rRNA from 1 species
CACUGCCGCGUGAGCGAUGACGGCCUUCGGGUCGUAAAGCUCUGUUGUUAGGGAAGAACAGUAUCGGAGUAACUGCCGGUACCUUGACGGUACCUAACCAGAAAGCCACGGCUAACUACGUGCCCCAGCCGCGGUAAUACGUAGGUGGCAAGCGUUGUCCGGAAUUAUUGGGCGUAAAGCGCGCGCAGGCGGUCCUUUAAGUCUGAUGUGAAAGCCCACGGCUCAACCGUGGAGGGUCAUUGGAAACUGGGGGACUUGAGUGAGGAAGAGGAAAGCGGAAUUCCACGUGUAGCGGUGAAAUGCGUAGAGAUGUGGAGGAACACCCGUGGGGAAGGCGGCUUUCUGGUCUUAACUGACGCUGAGGCGCGAAAGCGAGGGGAGCAAACAGGAUUAGAUGCCCUGGUAGUCCACGCCGUAAAAGAUGAGUGCUAACUGUAAAAGGGUUUCCCCCCUUUACUGCUGCAUCAAACGCAUUAACCGCUCCGCCUGGGGAGUACAGUCGCAAGGCUGAAACUCAAAGGAAUUGACGG